CUUCAGCGUGGUAAGUCUCUCCUGAGAAAAGGAACAUUGUUGUUAACUUUGAAUAGUAUGUGAUGGCAUGACCUUCAACAUAUACGGUUGAAACUCAUAGAAAUAAACAUAAAAAAAUGCUGUAUAUUCGAUAUGUACCUUGCGUGUGAUAGCGAGACGUUGACAGUCAGCGAUCUCUCUCAGUAAAUGACUCUGAUUUUCCUUUUCCUCAUCUUGGUCAAUCUCUUUUUCUAAUUUCUGGAACUCCAAAUCCUCCAGGCUUUUGGUUUGCUCCUCUGCUUCCUGUAACAGACAUGUUUAUGCAAAUUACAAUCCAAAAUGUGGAUCGCAGACUCCAUCAAAAUCAGGGAAAAUUUCGUGUUCAUUGAAACGCACCAUAACACACCACGUGAUAGCUCUUCUCUUAUUGGUCAGCGGAGACGGACUCAGCAGUGUAAACAGGAUGUAAUUCGCGCCAGUAAUCACAACAAAGAAUAAACUUGCCAUUUUGGAACAACUGGUCUUUAAUCUUCUGCUCCAGCUCUUCAAUGUUGUUCACAACCUGGAUCCUCUCUUCUUCAAUAUGCGUUACUUCCUGUUUCAGCUGCGCACUCUCCAACACCUGCAAACCAUAUAAGGAAGAAAAAGAAGAGAUGGUUGAUGUGAGACUUUUGUGGUCCUGCUGUCUGGAGAGCGAGCCUACAGGAAAGAGGUGGGCCUCAUGUCAGGAGUGAGCGAUUUUACUGCAUCACCCAGACUACAAGCCGGCAGGGUAAUGCAGAGAGUCAACAAACAAGACGAUGUAAACAGUGUGCUCAAUGCAACUUCAUUAAAUGUGUGCAGCGGCAUGAGGAUUUUAUGCAUCGGGUUCAAACUCUAGUUAAAAAACAUUGGUUUCCAACUUCAUUCUAACUAUUAUCAAAUGUCAAACAGCACUUUAAAGACUAUGCCAAUAGCCAACGAAUGGAACAAAACUCCAUACACGUCCAUACACACCAUAAAUACAUACUGUAUUUGCAUACAUACUGUACACAGGCUAGUGUUACUUCCCAGCAGUGUUAAGUCAAAGAAAACAAAAAAACAACAAUAAUUUGCAAGUGAAAGUUCAUAUUCACCACAACCUGGACGUGCAUCUCUGUGAGCAUCUCUCCGUCUUCCAUUUACAUGGGUGACCCGACUUUCCACAAUAAAAGCUCCCCUCCUCACCUUAGUUGUGUGUUGCAUCGUCAGAGCUGCUGUCCCUGCUGGUUUGGAUGUGAAAUCCUCUUGUCCCUGCACGGACGACGGAGCAGAGUAAAAAACCCAAAGUCCUUCUGUGACAAAGGAUCAGACAGGAGACCCUUCCCACCUCCCCGGAGAGGGGAGGGAGGGAGAGAGGGAGAAGAGCAGCCUGAUGAAUGUUACUUUGCUGAAUCUGGUAGCACUGUUGCCCCUGUUGGUGGUUUGAGGUACUGCACAGAAAUAAGCAUUUUAUGAAAUCAGCAGGUUAAAAGUACCUGGAAAUAUACCAACAUCAACAAACUAUAGAAAUGAAAAAUAGAUAACUUUUUGGAUGCAACCCUAGGGUUUAGUUCUUGGCACUUCUUUUUUUUGGCUCCCAGAAAUACAGUAGAAGCAAAAAAUGCAGAAUACUCCAGAUACAUGAAACCUGUACUUCUCUGUAAAACAAGACCGAUCCACAGUAUACAUUUAGGUAGUAAAAUAUCUUGAGUUUUUGGUUUGUUGUUUUUCUGCGGUAUGUGGAGGCGGGGGUGGCCUCUUUGGCUGCUUUAUAAAGAGAGAGAAAACUUCUCUCCCCCUCAUGACGUCCAACCACACAGAUGGGGAGCAGAACCACUUAAAAUGUACUUUGCUUGUGGUGUAAAUAUAUUCAUUUGUGAUUAAAUUUAUAGCAAGUAUUGUUGGAUACAGGUCAGGUAGAUACAAAGAUGCAGGAAAAGCUUACAUAAGGAAAAUCCCCCAAUCCUCCCGGAACUAAAACUUCAAUGACAUCAUGGGCAGGGGGGUUGUGUCGAGCCUGGACAAGAUGAUUACUUCCAGACUCAGACCUUGGAUCUUUGACAUGAAUACACACACACACACACACACCUUCACAUCUUGUGAAUUGCAGAGGAUGCAUUUUUCAAUGGGGUGGAACUUUUAAGAAGACAUUUUGGUUAUGACAUGCACCUACACAAAGUUGAUAACACUCGGGGGUGGACCGUAUUUGUUUGUAUAAGCUAAGUGUUCUACUACUAAAUCGCUGCACACAGAAGGGUGACAAUUGGUCUACAGAAGAACCCCUGCUGUGUUGCAUGUGAUAUUAUUAACCUGACAAAUACACCCCAUGUUGGCGCUGUUUUUAAAGGAGACCUAUUAUACCUUUUUCCACUUUUCUGACCUAUAAAUUUAGUUAAAAUGUUGCAUGAGGUUUGUGCAUUUGAACGUUAGCCGUGAAAGAAGUUUGGGAUGGCUUUGAAUGCUUGGUUUCAGACCUUUUUUCUAACACUGGCUCCUUGUGAUGUCACAAUGAGCCUGGUUUCCUUAUAUGGGCAUGCACAGUAAGCCAGAUACGCUCGAGGACUGCCCUCCCCACAGGUCUGCUUUGCUGUUUACGGUUGUUAGCUAUGGCUCCCAGCAAAUCUUUGUACACAGCAGAGUGGGCGUGCUUGGGGGCAGGCUGUGGGUGGAAUAAAUUAAAACAGACUGUUUGGGAAAUCUAAGGAAAUACAGCUGGAAUUGAUUCUGGAAGAUCUAGAAAGUUUUCUGUGCAGGUUAUUGUGUGUGGUUGCUCUAUAGGAGUCCACAACUCAAUACAAAGUGCUGAUAAAUGAGCAUUAUAGUUCCCCUUUAAACUCCAAAGUUCAACCAUAUAUAGUAGGACGGAUUGACUUGAAAUUUCUCACACAGCUCAAUGCACUCUUCAAAACACUCACUCUAACUUAAGGGUGUUUAGCUAAAUUACCGCAAAUUUUGGUGCACACAUUUUAGGUACUGACAAACCAAAUAUCUGUAAAAUUUGAGCAAAAGUGUCCUUGCUGGGACACUCAUUGGCCAUAAGUCACUGAUGGUUUGUCUAAUCUGUGCUACAUGUACACUAGCAUCGUCUUCCAAAGCAUAUGGAGUCAUAUGCUCAUAAGGGGCACCACAAUUAUAUAUGGACCCUCAAGUGUGCAGAACUGAAAAAAGUCAGACAUGACACCCCCUCAAAACCUUUUUUAUUGGAAAUGGUCACAUGUUUAAAUUAUGUUCUGGAGCUUCAGUUGUUUUGCACUCUUAAUAGAAUCACCCACCAAACAUAUUUUUUUACAAUUUGAGGGCUAUAAAAUAACAGUUAUGGGACUCAUCAGGGCCUCAUUUAACAAUGUCACCUUUUUGCCUAUACACAGAUGUGCUUGCCACAAAGCACUGGAAUGUUACACCUCCUCCAGACUGGGGGAAGAUUGGCUACCAAGCGGCAAGUGAUUAUGCAUUGGUUUAAGUCUAACCAUAUGCCCCAGUGAUUCCAAUUCAGAGCAGACGGCAAGAAAAAAGUGAAUGGAGAAAAAAAUGGGGUGUAUUUCUGGGAAGCCUUAUGAAAAUGAUUGGUCUUUAUUUAGUGUCUGACAUAUUAUUUACAUCUGCUGCAAAAUUCUCAGGGUGAGUAUUGACAAACUGCUGACAAGCGUUUGGUCCCUCUUCUGGUUUUUCUUCUUCUUUCCUUGAAUCGUCCGCAUUAUAAUCGUCUGUUACAUUUCUGCCGGGUGGUCCAUCCAACACCACGGGUUGUAGGUUCAAUCCUCUGCAGUCAACAGCCUGUUGCC